UACGUAGGGGGCAAGCGUUGUCCGGAUUUAUUGGGCGUAAAGAGCGUGUAGGCGGCCAUGUAGGUCCGUUGUGAAAACUCGAGGCUCAACCUCGAGACGCCGAUGGAAACCAUGUGGCUAGAGUCCGGAAGAGGAGAGUGGAAUUCCUGGUGUAGCGGUGAAAUGCGCAGAUAUCAGGAAGAACACCCGUGGCGAAGGCGGCUCUCUGGGACGGUACUGACGCUGAGACGCGAAAGCGUGGGGAGCGAACAGG
rnacentral:rRNA from 1 species